UACAGAGGUCCCGAGCGUUUGUUCGGAUUUAUUGGGCGUAAAGGGUGCGUAGGCGGCGGAGUAAGUUGGGUGUGAAAUCCCGGGGCUUAACCUCGGAAUUGCAUUCAAUACUGCUUCGCUUGAGUACUGGAGAGGAGGCUGGAAUUUACGGUGUAGCAGUGAAAUGCGUAGAUAUCGUAAGGAAGGCCGGUGGCGAAAAGCGAGCCUCUGGACAGUUACUGACGCUGAUGCACGAAGGCCAGGGGGAGCAAACGGG
rnacentral:rRNA from 1 species